GCUGCGCUCAGGCCGCUCCAGCGGGCGGGGCCGGGGCCGGGUCCCGCCGCUUCCCCGAGUCGGACUCGGAGCCGCCCGGAGCGAAGCGGCCGGGAGCGGAGCCGGGAUGGAUGACAUCUUCACGCAGUGCCGGGAGGGCAACGCCGUGGCCGUGCGCCUCUGGCUGGACAACACUGAGAACGAUCUCAACCAGGGGGAUGACCACGGAUUCAGCCCCCUGCACUGGGCCUGCCGUGAGGGCCGCUCCACCGUGGUGGACAUGCUCAUCAUGCGGGGCGCCCGCAUCAACGUUAUGAACCGCGGUGACGACACCCCGCUGCAUCUGGCGGCCAGCCAUGGGCACCGGGACAUCGUGCAGAAGCUGAUCCAGUUCAAGGCAGACAUCAAUGCAGUGAAUGAGCAUGGGAACACGCCGCUGCACUACGCCUGCUUCUGGGGGCACGACCAGGUGGCCGAGGACCUGGUGAGCAGCGGGGCCCUUGUCAGCAUCUCCAACAAAUAUGGCGAGAUGCCUGUGGACAAGGCCAAGGUACCACUGCGCGAACUGCUGAAAGAGCGUGCAGAGAAGCUGGGCCAGAGCCUGACCAAGAUCCCCUACAAGGACACCUUCUGGAAGGGCACCACUCGCACGCGGCCCCGAAACGGGACCCUGAACAAACUGGCCGGUAUAGACUUCAAGCAGCUGAGCCUGGGCCACAAACUCAACGAGAACCAGUCAGGAGAGCUGUGGAAGGGGCGCUGGCAGGGCAAUGACAUCGUUAUCAAAGUGAUGAAAAUUCGGGAUUGGACAACACGGAAAAGCCGAGACUUCAACGAGGAGCAUCCCAAGCUCCGGAUCUUCUCACACCCCAAUGUUCUGCCAGUGCUGGGGGCCUGCCAGUCACCCCCCGCCCCGCACCCGAUCAUCAUCACGCACUGGAUGCCGUACGGCUCCCUCUACAACGUCUUACACGAGGGGACGAACUUUGUGGUGGAUCAGAUGCAAGCAGUGAAGUUUGCCCUGGACAUCGCCCGGGGCAUGGCCUUCCUGCACACACUGGAGCCCCUCAUCCCACGCCACAAUCUCAACAGCCGCAGCAUCAUGAUCGACGAGGACAUGACGGCGCGUAUCAGCAUGGCCGACGUGAAAUUCUCCUUCCAGUGCCCAGGCAGGAUGUAUGCCCCAGCCUGGGUGGCGCCUGAGGCACUGCAGAAGAAGCCAGAGGAAAUCAACCGGCGCUCGGCGGACAUGUGGAGCUUUGCAGUGCUGCUGUGGGAGCUGGUGACACGCGAGGUGCCCUUCGCAGACCUGUCCAAUAUGGAGAUUGGCAUGAAGGUGGCACUGGAGGGGCUACGCCCGACCAUCCCGCCUGGCAUCUCCCCACACAUCUGCAAGUUGAUGAAGAUCUGUAUGAAUGAGGACCCUGCAAAACGGCCCAAGUUCGACAUGAUCGUCCCCAUCCUGGAGAAGAUGCAGGAGAAAUAGGGGCCAGCCCCCUGCUGCUUGCUGCUGCCAAGCUGCCCCCACCCCAUCCAAGUGCCUUCAGGAGGUGCCCCGCCUUUCCCAGCAGGUGGUGCUGGUGCUUUCCCAGACACUGCAACCUGAGCCGGCCACAGACACAUGGGACAGGAGGCAGUGUCAGCAACAGCAGGGAAGCUGCUGCCGGGCACCUCCCCUACCCCGUCCCCUUGAAGAGACAAGGUGGGGGAGGGAAUUGGACCACCUUAUGUUGGAGACAAAGACAAGCUGUCCCCCCUUACACCGAGCUCAACAGCUCUUAAGUGACCUAUACUUCCUGAGAAAACACAAGAAACAGCACAUCCUCCCCAGGGAUCUCAGUGGCCAGACUCUCUGCAGCCAGACUUCAGAAAGGCUAAGGAACCACAAUCACCACGUGCUCCCAUACACUGGAAGAAAGUCACCUGGAAAUCAUGCAAGAAAUCCCAGGCAGCCUGAGGACAGCCAUCCGACAUUCACUCCAAGUGUCACGGUGAAAUACAAGCUUUGCCUGGCUUGGAUUUCCCAGACCUGAAGCAGAGCUCUGUGGAAGCUCAAGCCUCUCAAGAGGAGCUGGUGCAAUAAAAGACUUUACCUCA